CCCUUAGAUGUUCUGGGCCGCACACGCGCUACACUGAAGGAGGCAGCGUGUACUCCUGGAUCGAAAGAUUUGGGUAACCCGCGAAUCUCCUUCGUGCUAGGGAUUGAGGUUUGCAAUUAUCCUUCAUGAACGAGGAAUUCCCAGUAAGUGCAAGUCAUAAGCUUGCGCUGACUACGUCCCUGCCCUUUGUACACACCGCCCGUCGCUACUACCGAUUGAAUGAUUUAGUGAGGACUUCGGACUGGGACCGAUGCGGCUUUCGGGCUGCGUCGGUAUUCUGGAAAGAUGUCCAAACUAUAUCAUUUAGAGGAAGUAAAAGUCGUAACA
rnacentral:rRNA from 1 species